rnacentral:rRNA from 1 species
GAUGAACGCUGGCGGCGUGCUUAACACAUGCAAGUCGAACGGAAAGGCCCAAGCUUGCUUGGGUCCUCGAGUGGCGAACGGGUGAGUAACACGUGUGUGAUCUGCCCUGCACUUCGGGAUAAGCCUAGGAAACUGGGUCUAAUACCGGAUAGGACGAUGGUUUGGAUGCCAUUGUGGAAAGUUUUUUCGGUGUGGGAUGAGCUCGCGGCCUAUCAGCGUGUUGGUGGGGUAGUGGCCUACCAAGGCGUCGACGGGUAGCCGGCCCGAGAGUGUGUAUGGCCACAUUUGGACUGAGAAACGGUACAGACUCCUCCGGGAGGCAGCAGUGGGGAAUAUUGCAAAAUGUGAGAAAGACUGAUGCAGCGACGCCGCGUGGGGGAAGACGGCCUUCGGGUUGUAAACUCCUUUCGCUAGGGAAGAGCCGUUUUUGUGACGGUACCUGGAGAAGAAGCACCGGCUAACUACGUG